rnacentral:lncRNA from 1 species
ACCUAUGUAAGAUGAACAUUGGCUUGGUCCAGAAAGGCAGGGCCUCAGUGACAUCAAUCAACGUAUGUAAGAUGAACACUGGCUUGGUCUGGAAAGGCGGGGCCUCAGUGACAUCAAUCAUCAUAUGCAAGAUGAACAUUGGCUUGGUCCAGAAAGGCGGGACCUCGGUCCAGAAAGGCGGGACAACUUGAAGCCAAGACAGGAAGCAGGAAAGGGGCUUCCAGGUCACAGCACAAAGAGGCAAAGCAGAAGCAGCAGACAGGACGUCAAAGAACCAGUGCAUGGCUGCGCCGGGCCCCGGGGCUUCCCACACGGGUUACUGUCAUCCUUCCGAAUCACUGGACUUGAAGCCCAGCAUGUUGCUGAGUUUUGCUCCAGAGACAAUUGCCAUUUGUUAUUUAAGUGACAAAGGUAACGCAUGCCGGCGGGAAGCAAUGCACAAAAUGUGAAGUUAUAUGCAGAUUCAGAAGAGAAGGCUUCAGGCAAGUUCCUUCUCCAGCCCCUGCUCCCAUCUCUCUCUUCCCUGUUUCUCUGGCCCUUGCUCUCAUCUCUCUCUGCCCUGCUUGGAGGCAUCCAGCCUUCUUCACCACAGGGAACAUGGAGCUCAAAAGAUAACACACACCUUAAUGCUGUUGACAGCUGCCCCAGUGGCAAAGGGACAUGUUUUCAUCACCUACACCUUGUUUGGCCAGUUAGAGGGCUGUGUUUCUCAGAGUCAGGAAGUCCUGGGCCAGGUGGAGGAAAGAAAUGGCGCAGCCACCUCUGGCCUCCUCCUGCUCCUCCUGGAUCUGGGAGAUGGCGCCCAGCCAAGCCCUCCAUGCCCUGCCCGUGAGUGGGAUGUCUGACUGCUCUCACCGUCUCUCCUUCUCCCCUUAACCCCAGGCCCAACCCCUCCGGGCUCACUGCUUGUGGUUUUUCUGCUUAGGAAUUGGUCCCUGGGUGUAGCCCAGGCUUGUAGGGCCCCGUCCUCCCCAGCCCUGCUCCCCACUGUUCAGGGGCAGCCCCCCCACUCCUCCCACCUGCCGUGGCUCUUUGCUGCACCCUCCCUGGCCCAGUCUUGGCAUUCGCCCUUAUCAGUUCUCCGUCUUCUUUGAAGCUGAGACAGAGUAUUGUCCCCCACUUGCUUGCAGAUGCUAAGAUGGAGUUUAGAGCACAGGAUAUUGAUCAGGGACCCAUGCCUGGGAAAGGGGCAGAGAGAGAAGCCCAGCAAGAUGCACCCUGGCCCAGCCUCGGCACCCCCAGGGAGCCCUGGGCUGUGGGGCCUGUUAGAGUUGCUGCAGGUGGGCGGGAAGGGCUGGGCAUUCAUACCCCCCACAGCUGGUCCCGGGUAAGGUGACCAUCUGCAGCUGAGGCAGCCUGAAGGAGGGACAGCUGGAGGUAUCUGAGGCUGCUCUCCCAAUGCUGGAGGGCAGGGCCUUCCCUGGAGGGAUCCGAAGGGGCAUUUCCAUGCCCAGCUCAUACAGGAAGCUUAUUGGAGCCUCACAUCUGGAAAGCACUACAGACCGCACCGCAGACCGCACGACAGACCGCACCGCAGACCGCUCUACAGACCGGCACAUGCGCAACCCUGCCCGGCUGCUCUCCCUCCCUGCCUGGCUGCUCUCCCUCCCUGCCCAGCUGCUUUCUCUCCCUGCUGUGACCAGGCCAUUUUGGUGCAUUAUCUGUGCUCAGCGCUUUCCUCCUCUAUUUGAUGACUUUUCCAGGCAGUGGGCCUGGGGGUGAAGUCCCCUUGACCUUUGGGCUCCACCCAGGCACCUGGAGCCCCUGGGCUCUUCCCCUGCAGGGAACUGUUAGCAUCCUGCACUUUGCCCUCCUCCCAUCCUGCCCACGGGAGAUGCAGCGUGAACUCCUAGUCCUCAAAAAGGCUUAA